rnacentral:rRNA from 1 species
UACGUAGGGUGCAAGCGUUAAUCGGAAUUACUGGGCGUAAAGCGUGCGCAGGCGGUUAUGUAAGACAGGUGUGAAAUCCCCGGGCUUAACCUGGGAACUGCAUUUGUGACUGCAUAGCUAGAGUACGGUAGAGGGGGAUGGAAUUCCGCGUGUAGCAGUGAAAUGCGUAGAUAUGCGGAGGAACACCGAUGGCGAAGGCAAUCCCCUGGACCUGUACUGACGCUCAUGCACGAAAGCGUGGGGAGCAAACGGG